rnacentral:rRNA from 1 species
GAGGGGCAGCAUGGGCUUAGCUUGCUAAGCCCGAUGGCGACCGGCGCACGGGUGAGUAACACGUAUCCAACCUUCCGGUAACUCCGGUAUAGCCUUUCGAAAGAAAGAUUAAUCCCGGAUAGUAUGGUGAUUCCGCAUGGUUUCUCCAUUAAAGGAUUCCGGUUACCGAUGGGGAUGCGUUCCAUUAGGCAGUUGGCGGGGUAACGGCCCACCAAACCUACGAUGGAUAGGGGUUCUGAGAGGAAGGUCCCCCACAUUGGAACUGAGACACGGUCCAAACUCCUACGGGAGGCAGCAGUGAGGAAUAUUGGUCAAUGGGCGGAAGCCUGAACCAGCCAAGUAGCGUGAAGGAUGACUGCCCUAUGGGUUGUAAACUUCUUUUAUAAGGGAAUAAUUGUG